rnacentral:rRNA from 1 species
UAAUUGAAGAGUUUGAUCAUGGCUCAGAUUGAACGCUGGCGGCAGGCCUAACACAUGCAAGUCGAGCGGCAGCACAGAGGAACUUGUUCCUUGGGUGGCGAGCGGCGGACGGGUGAGUAAUGCCUGGGAAAUUGCCCGGUAGAGGGGGGAUAACCAUUGGAAACGAUGGCUAAUACCGCAUAACCUCGCAAGAGCAAAGCAGGGGACCUUCGGGCCUUGCGCUACCGGAUAUGCCCAGGUGGGAUUAGCUAGUUGGUGAGGUAAGGGCUCACCAAGGCGACGAUCCCUAGCUGGUCUGAGAGGAUGAUCAGCCACACUGGAACUGAGACACGGUCCAGACUCCUACGGGAGGCAGCAGUGGGGAAUAUUGCACAAUGGGCGCAAGCCUGAUGCAGCCAUGCCGCGUGUAUGAAGAAGGCCUUCGGGUUGUAAAGUACUUUCAGUAGGGAGGAAGGUGGUUAAG